CCUGAGGCCCGCGCCCUCCAAGGCCAAGAGCAUGGACGCGUCUCCAAGGACAGAACCCCUCCCUCUCUCCGCGUUCCACACCUCCAGCCUUUCUGGACUCUGAGAGUCUCCCGGGGUCUCAGCCCGCCUUGGGUUUAUUUAUUGACUGUCUUUCCCCCUGUCCUCGAGAGAGGAGUGGGAGACUGAGCCGCGGGCGGGCCGCAGGACGGAUGGACGGACCGACGGGGCUGGGGCCGCGCGCGCGCUGUGUACGGAGUCCUCGGGCCUCCCGGGACGUGCCUCCUCCUACUGUGUAGGAGCCUCCGCUUCCCAAUACAGCUUUUUGUCCCCGAG